ACGCUUGCGGGAAUCGAUCUCAGCUCUCUUGGAAACAAAUGGCCCAGCAAGACCGCUGGACCACAGCCUUAAUGUCUUCACAAGUGGAUUCAUUUUUGUUAUACCUUCUACUUUUAUAUAAAAUUUAUACAUAUACACACCAAAUUUUUUUGACGAAGCGGGUUGAGUUGAACCCUCUUGAUAUAACGUGGGUCCGCCCCUGCCCACAACCCACUAGUCAUCACCACCACCAAACACCACAGAAUUUUUUUAAAAUUAUGUUGUUGAUAUAUUAUUCGAUUAAUUGGUAUUUUAUUUGAAUUUCAUUCACUAGUCAUCACCACCACACCAAACACCACAGAAUUUUUUUAAAAUUAUGUUGUUGAUAUAUUAUUAGAUUAAUAGGUAUUUUAUUUGAAUUUCAUAUUUAUUAAUUUUAAGUAAAGAAAAAACUUUUUACACCCACAUGUUAAGAAAACGAGCAAUCUUAAUUACUCCAUCCGUUCCAAUUUAUGUGAACCUAUUUGACUGGGCACGGGGUUUAAGAAAAAAUGAAGAUUUU
rnacentral:lncRNA from 1 species